rnacentral:rRNA from 1 species
UAACGCGUAUCCAACCUGCCCACCACUUGGGGAUAACCUUGCGAAAGUAAGACUAAUACCCAAUGACGUCUCUAGAAGACAUCUGAAAGAGAUUAAAGAUUUAUCGGUGAUGGAUGGGGAUGCGUCUGAUUAGCUUGUUGGCGGGGUAACGGCCCACCAAGGCAACGAUCAGUAGGGGUUCUGAGAGGAAGGUCCCCCACAUUGGAACUGAGACACGGUCCAAACUCCUACGGGAGGCAGCAGUGAGGAAUAUUGGUCAAUGGACGAGAGUCUGAACCAGCCAAGUAGCGUGCAGGAAGACGGCCCUAUGGGUUGUAAACUGCUUUUAUAAGGGAAUAAAGUGAGUCUCGUGAGACUUUUUGCAUGUACCUUAUGAAUAAGGACCGGCUAAUUCCGUGCCAGCAGCCGCGGUAAUACGGAAGGUCCGGGCGUUAUCCGGAUUUAUUGGGUUUAAAGGGAGCGUAGGCCGGAGAUUAAGCGUGUUGUGAAAUGUAGACGCUCAACGUCUGCACUGCAGCGCGAACUGGUUUUCUUGAGUACGCACAAAGUGGGCGGAAUUCGUGGUGUAGCGGUGAAAUGCUUAGAUAUCACGAAAAGGUCCGAUUG